AGCUUUAUAGUCAAUAAAUGAUAUUAGACUGCAAUUCUGAAGUAGAGAUGAAUUUUAUAUCUCUAAAGCUU
rnacentral:tRNA from 1 species